AGAGUUUGAUCAUGGCUCAGGACGAACGCUGGCGGCGUGCCUAAUACAUGCAAGUCGAACGAACUCUGGUAUUGAUCGGUGCUUGCAUCAUGAUUUACAUUUGAGUGAGUGGCGAACUGGUGAGUAACACGUGGGAAACCUGCCCGGAAGCGGGGGAUAACACCUGGAAACAGAUGCUAAUACCGCAUAACAACUUGGACCGCAUGGUCCGAGCUUGAAAGAUGGCUUCGGCUAUCACUUCUGGAUGGUCCCGCGGCGUAUUAGCUAGAUGGUGAGGUAACGGCUCACCAUGGCAAUGAUACGUAGCCGACCUGAGAGGGUAAUCGGCCACAUUGGGACUGAGACACGGCCCAAACUCCUACGGGAGGCAGCAGUAGGGAAUCUUCCACAAUGGACGAAAGUCUGAUGGAGCAACGCCGCGUGAGUGAAGAAGGGUUUCGGCUCGUAAAACUCUGUUGUUAAAGAAGAACAUAUCUGAGAGUAACUGUUCAGGUAUUGACGGUAUUUAACCAGAAAGCCACGGCUAACUACGUGCCAGCAGCCGCGGUAAUACGUAGGUGGCAAGCGUUGUCCGGAUUUAUUGGGCGUAAAGCGAGCGCAGGCGGUUUUUUAAGUCUGAUGUGAAAGCCUUCGGCUCAACCGAAGAAGUGCAUCGGAAACUGGGAAACUUGAGUGCAGAAGAGGACAGUGGAACUCCAUGUGUAGCGGUGAAAUGCGUAGAUAUAUGGAAGAACACCAGUGGCGAAGGCGGCUGUCUGGUCUGUAACUGACGCUGAGGCUCGAAAGUAUGGGUAGCAAACAGGAUUAGAUACCCUGGUAGUCCAUACCGUAAACGAUGAAUGCUAAGUGUUGGAGGGUUUCCGCCCUUCAGUGCUGCAGCU
rnacentral:rRNA from 1 species